rnacentral:rRNA from 1 species
AGAGUUUGAUCCUGGCUCAGGAUGAACGCUGGCGGCGUGGAUAAGGCAUGCAAGUCGAACGAAUGCGGUUUGAGAUUACAUCAAGAAUCGCGUUAGUGGCGAACGAGUUAGUAACACAUUGGUAUUUGCCCCGAAGACGGGUGUAACCUGCCGAAAGGCGGGCUAAUCCCCGAUGGUCCUCUCGCUUUUUGCGAGUGGUAAAAGGAAACCGCAAGGAGACCGCUUCGGGAGAAACCUAUGGCCUAUCAGCUUGUUGGUAGGGUAAUGGCCUACCAAGGCUAUGACGGGUAGGGGGCAUGAGAGUGUGUUCCCCAACGACGAGACUGAGACACGGCUCGUACACCUACGGGUGGCAGCAGUCGAGAAUAUUCCACAAUGGGCGAAAGCCUGAUGGAGCGACGCCGCGUGCAGGAAGAAGGCCUUCGGGUCGUAAACUGCUUUUAUCCCUGAGGAAGCCGCAAGGCUGACUGUAGGGGAGGAAUAAGGGGCUGCAAACUUCGUGCCAGCAGCCGCGGUAAUACGAAGGCCCCAAGCGUUAUCCGGAUUUAUUGGGCGUAAAGCGUCUGUAAGCGGUUCGUUUCGUUGAAAAACGAAGGGGUUUCCGCGAUUAAGCGGAAAUUCGCAAGUCGGGUGUUAAAUGCCAAGGCUUAACUUUGGCGCCGCAUCCGAUACUGGCGAACUGGAGGGCAUCUUAGGUUGGCGGAAUUCCCGGUGUAGGGGUGAAAUCCGUUGAUAUCGGGAGGAACACCAAAGGCGAAGGCAGCCAACUGGGGUGCACCUGACGCCGAGAGACGAAAGCGUGGGGAGCAAAAAGGAUUAGAUACCCUUGUAGUCCACGCCCUAAACGAUGAGUGCUAGCUAUUGGAAGUAUCGACCCUUCCAGUGGCGAAGCUAACGCGUUAAGCACUCCGCCUGGGAAGUACGGCCGCAAGGCUAAAACUCAAAGGAAUAGACGGGGACUCGCACAAGCGGUGGAUCAUGUGGUUUAAUUCGACGGUAAACGAAGAACCUCACCAGGGUUUGAAAUGCUUAUGAAAUCCUUCCGAAAGGAAGGACCUCUCACAAGGACAUAAGCACAGGCGCUGCACGGUUGUCGUCAGUUCGUGCCUUGAGGUGUUUCCUUAAGUGGAUUAACGAACGCAACCCCCGUUGCCAGUUAUAUGUGUCUGGCGAGACUGCCUCCUUCGGGAGGAGGAAGGUGGGGAUGACGCCAAAUCAGCGUGGCCCUUUGAUACCCUGGGCCACACACAUGAUACAAUGGGAAGUACAAUGGGUCGCCAAGUCGCAAGACGGAGCUAAUCCCAUCAAAACUUCCCUCAGUUCAGAUUGGGGUCUGCAACUCGACCCCAUGAAGAUGGAAUCGCUAGUAACCGCAGGUCAGCUAUACUGCGGUGAAUACGUUCUCGAGUCUUGUACUCACCGCCCGUCACUUCAAGGGAGCCGGAAACGCCCGAAGACUCAUUAUUUUUUAAAGGGUUCAAGGCGGGUUCGGUGACAGGGAAGAAGUCGUAACAAGGCACGCGUAGCGGAAGCUGUGCGUG